ACAUGUGUGAAAUGUGUUAUUUUUAAAUAGCGCCCUCAAUUGGCAGAUUUUGGCACACUUCGAGACUGUGGAGAGAUGGCGGAGUCAUAACACUUUGCUGAAACAGCUAGACCAGGCUACAUGAACUGCUUACACAAUAUUUUUGGUUUCAUUAUCA
rnacentral:misc_RNA from 1 species